UCUGGUAUGAAAGGUUUGACGAGAUAUUAACUGUUUCAUAAAAAUUUAUAUUAGAAUUUUAUUUUUUAGUCAAAAAGCUAAAAUAUAUUUAAAAGACGAGAAGACCCUAUAAAUCUUUAUAUUUAGAUUAUUAUAAUUGUAUAGAUUAUUUUUGUUAUAAUAAUUAAUAAUAUUUUAUUGGGGUGAUAUUAAAAUUUAAUAAACUUUUAAUUGUUUAAAUCAUUAAUUUAUGAAUAAUUGAUCCGUUAAUAACGAUUAAAAAAACAAGUUACCUUAGGGAUAACAGCGA
rnacentral:rRNA from 1 species